CUGCCAUGAAUGGUCAUAUGCAUGUAUAACUCUAUAAAGAAUCGUCAAACAUUUUUAAUUCACAUUAAAAUACGGCAAAGAAACGAUAGUAUUUAUUAUCUAGCCUCCUCCGCAAGCAUUGCCUUUAGAUUAUAUAUUAUUUUCCGAUGGCCACCCCUGAUUAGUGAGGAUUUUUGGCCGCAGUGGUCAGUAGCUAAGUUGUUAUAAGCUCUGAAAUCAUACGUUUGAAUGAUUCAGUAUUCUCUGGAAGAGCGUUCCAUUGCCA